rnacentral:rRNA from 1 species
GAAUCUGUGAAUGGCUCAUUAUAUCAGUUAUAGUUUAUUUGAUAGAUUCUUACUAGUUGGAUAACCGUAGUAAUUCUAGAGCUAAUACAUGCGCGAAGUGCCGACUGCAGGUCCGCAAGGGUUUGCGGAAGGUAUGUAUUUAUUAGAGAUAACCAGCCUGGGGCUUGUCUCCAGUUUGUGGUGAAUCAUAGUAACUGAGCGAAUCGCAUGGCUUCGUGCCGGCGAUGGUUCAUUCAAGUUUCUGCCCUAUCAGCUUUCGAUGGUAGGGUAUUGGCCUACCAUGGCGUUAACGGGUAACGGAGAAUUAGGGUUCGGUUCCGGAGAGGGAGCCUGAGAAACGGCUACCACAUCCAAGGAAGGCAGCAGGCGCGUAAAUUACCCAAUCCUAACACAGGGAGGUAGUGACAAUAAAUAACGAUACAGGACUCAUGUAGUUUUGUAAUUGGAAUGAGAACAAUUUAAAUCCCUUAUCGAGGAUCAAUUGGAGGGCAAGUCUGGU